GACGAACGCUGGCGGCGUGCCUAAUACAUGCAAGUAGGACGCAGUUGCGAACGGGUGAGUAACGCGUAGGUAACUACCUAUUAGAGGGGGAUAACUAUUGGAAACGAUAGCUAAUACCGCAUACUAGUAGCUGGACCUUCGUUGUAUUAGCUAGUAGGUAUGGUAAUGGCCUACCUAGGCAACGAUACAUAGCCGACCCGAGAGGGUGAUCGGCCCAAACGGGAACGAGAACCGGCCCAGACUCCUACGGGAGGGAGCAGUAGGGAAACAUCGGCAAGGGGGGGAAACCCGACCGAGCAAAGCCGCGUGAGUGAAGAAGGUUCUCGGAUCGUAAAGCUAUGUUGUUUAGGAAGCGGUACUUAACCAGAAAGGGACGGCUAACUACGUGACAGCAGCCGCGGUAAUAC
rnacentral:rRNA from 1 species